CAAUGGUAUGCCUGAGACGCCGGCAUCCACGAGUAUUGACCCCUCCGUACGUCUCUACAAUGUUGUUCAUCAUUCUACUGAAGCUGCAUCAGGACGUUCUGUGCGGGGAAAGAAGAAGAAGAAAGCGGAGGCAGCGCCAGCAGCAUGGAAUCCGUGGGAGAGACACAGGGAGGCACACUUUUCGGUAAUCAGAGAGCCAUCCCUGUGUUUCUGGUGUUACAUAGGACUGCAGGAGUCCGAUAGAUUCAGAUACCACAGGGCUUUGUUCCUACGGCGUUCCCUUUGCCGCAAAACUGACAUGUGCCCUUCAUUCUCUGGAUGAUUAGAUCAAUUCCAGUUGGACAGUUUCUACGGGUGUGUAGGAUAUGCUCCACUGACAGAAUGCGGAUGAUCUGAAGCAACGCUUUUCCAACCGUAGAUAUAGCCAAUGGUCUAGCAAGGAAACCUAUAGGAGGGCAAAAUCGUGUUCUCGUUCUGAUCUUCUUUACUCCAUGAAACGGAAGUCCAGUGAUAAUAAAGUGAGAUUUAUCACAAAUUAUCACUCUAGAUGGUUUGAGAUGAAGGCUUGUUUGGAGAAAUUUUGGCCAGUGCUAUUAACUGAUCCGAUUGUUGCGAAAUAUGUUGCUUCAGGCCCUUCCAUGGUGGCAAGAAGACCUAGGAAUUUGUAAGAUCACUUGGUAAGGAGCCUUUAUACGAAGCAGAUCCCUCCAAUUUCCCAGGAGUUGGCAAGCCCAAAUGGGGCUUUGCACCUUGUGGGAGGUGCAUGGUUUGUACCAAUAUGGAGAGGGCCACGGACUUCUGUGAUGCAACCGGUGAGAAGGUUUUUCAAAUUACACACCUUUGACCUGCUCCAGUAUAGCAGUUGUUUACUAUGCUACAUGCCCAUGUCCAAAGGUGACCUGCACUUUGAGAAAGCAGCCAUGUUUCUCUAAUCUUGUAUGGCCCUUCCAUAGGCACAGUUCUCUUAGGCUGGGUUCACAUCUGUGCUUUUAACUCCGACAGUCUGUUCCGGCAGAAGAACAGACUGCUGGUGGUUACCAUAUCCGGCAGAGCCAGAUACCACAGUGGACUGCUGGAUCCUCAUUCCAGUAUAUAUGCUGGCUUUCGGCCUCACAAAAAAUGCUACUUGUAAUAUUUUUUUAUCCGGCCCAAAACCGGCAUGUCCGCUGGAUACAGUCUGUUCUUCUGCUGGAACAGCCUGCCAGAUUUAAAAAUGCAGAUGUGA